CACGUAGGGCGCAAGCGUUGUCCGGAAUUAUUGGGCGUAAAGAGCUCGUAGGCGGUCUGUUGCGUCCGCUGUGAAAUCUCGGGGCUUAACCCCGAGCCUGCAGUGGAUACGGGCAGACUAGAGGUAGGUAGGGGAGAAUGGAAUUCCCGGUGUAGCGGUGAAAUGCGCAGAUAUCGGGAGGAACACCGGUGGCGAAGGCGGCGACCUGGGUCGAGACUGACGCUGAGGCGCGAAAGCGUGGGGAGCAAACAGG
rnacentral:rRNA from 1 species